CUGGCUCGGAGCAGCAGCCUCUGAGGUAAGGGCGAGGGGCGCGGGCCGGUGUGGGCCGCAGACACGUUGGAGCCGGCGGGGGCUGGGGACUGGCCUCGGGGAGACUUGAGGUGUCCCUGGCCAGUGUCCUUCCACCUGUCCACAAGCAUGGGGAACAUCUUCGCCAACCUCUUCAAGGGCCUUUUUGGCAAAAAAGAAAUGCGCAUCCUCAUGGUGGGCUUGGAUGCUGCAGGGAAGACCACGAUCCUGUACAAGCUUAAGCUGGGUGAGAUCGUGACCACCAUUCCCACCAUAGGUGAGGUGGGGGCCAGCAGGGAGUGGGCUGGGCUGGGCUGGGCCAAGGUACAAGGCCUCACCCUGCAUCCCGCACCCAGGCUUCAACGUGGAAACUGUGGAGUACAAGAACAUCAGCUUCACUGUGUGGGACGUGGGUGGCCAGGACAAGAUCCGGCCCCUGUGGCGCCACUACUUCCAGAACACACAAGGCCUGAUCUUCGUGGUGGACAGCAAUGACAGAGAGCGCGUGAACGAGGCCCGUGAGGAGCUCAUGAGGAUGCUGGCCGAGGACGAGCUCCGGGAUGCUGUCCUCCUGGUGUUCGCCAACAAGCAGGACCUCCCCAACGCCAUGAAUGCGGCUGAGAUCACAGACAAGCUGGGGCUGCACUCCCUACGCCACAGGAACUGGUACAUUCAGGCCACCUGCGCCACCAGCGGCGACGGGCUCUAUGAAGGACUGGACUGGCUGUCCAAUCAGCUCCGGAACCAGAAGUGAACGCGACCCCCCUCCCUCUCACUCCUCUUGCCCUCUGCUUUACUCUCAUGUGGCAAACGUGCGGCUCGUGGUGUGAGUGCCAGAAGCUGCCUCCGUGGUUUGGUCACCAUGUGCAUCGCACCGUGCUGUAAAUGUGGCAGACGCAGCCUGCGGCCAGGCUUUUUAUUUAAUGUAAAUAGUUUUUGUUUCCAAUGAGGCAGUUUCUGGUACUCCUAUGCAAUAUUACUCAGCUUUUUUUAUUGUAAAAAGAAAAAUCAACUCACUGUUCAGUGCUGAGAGGGGAUGUAGGCCCAUGGGCACCUGGCCUCCAGGAGUCACUGUGUUGGGAGAGCCGGGCACGCCCUUGGCUUUAGAGCUGUGUUGAAA
rnacentral:sRNA from 1 species